GGUUGUGACCAAAAAGUGAAUUUAGUCACUUGAGCAUACAAGUAUUUCUCCUAUUUUUUUUAUACAAAAAGUCACACCUUUUUGUCUUGUCUUAGCAAUUCAUGAAACCAUAUUUAAUGAUGAUAAAUCAUCCACGCCAGCAAUCCUAGUGAAAGAGAACUUGUGAACGGUAUAUUGUAAAAGACUAAAAAGUUAUUUCUUCUCUCUAACAAUACUAAAAAAUUACCAUACAAGACUUGCAUCAAUAGAAUACAGAACAGGGCCACGAGGAGAAGAACUACAUGAUGGAGUCUAUACACCGGUCGAUUUCGGUCAUCGCUAGUGGAUUUUCUGUGAGACUGACCCCGACCCCAAUCGUCCGAACUCAUUCCUAACUCAUUUUUCUGACCCGUGACCUGUCGACCCAUGACACCUUGACUUCCAAUGGGUAUAUCGGUUUUGGUUGGAUCACCGACGGAUGCUCAACCCUACAUGGAUGCUUAUGAUUGGUCUUCAGAAACAUUGUUGUUUUUUAUAUUUUCAUAUUACCAUAUAGUGACAGUGUGUCCUAACUUAUUCUGUCUAUAUAAUCCUAAGUGAUAGUUAACAUAUUUCUUCCACAAUUUUAUACAACACUCGCAAUCUCUCAAAUUACAUACACAAAUUUCUUUUCUUUUUCUUAUAUUUUCGUUCUUAAUUCUUUCCUUAGCUUUUGUCAAAAAUAAGUUAUUGUCUUAGAUCUCUCAUCAACUAAUAAAUAUGUGAGUGUCUUGUAAAUUCUUUGAUGUGUUUUAAAAAAUAAACUUUCUAGCUUAGAGUAGUCAUUAAUUUAAAUAAAAGAUUUUAUGAAUUUUGAAACCCAAUUAAAUCGAGUCAUGUUUCCUUCUUUUUAUUUAUUGGAAAUCUAGUUCGUUCCGUUUAAUAUCUUGGUAAGAGUUUUAUGAUUUUUCAAUUUUAUUUUAUCCCUAUGCAUUCUAAAGAUCUAGCUUACAAAUCGUUGAUGUUAACAUUUGUGGGAAUGAAGUAGCAAUCGUGUUAAGUAUUUUGUUUUAAUGAAAAUUAUUUUAUCAAUUAUCUAUAUAUACAAUGAAUGAUUAUUUGUGUGUUUUAUAGUUUUAGGGUCUUGUGUUGAUGAUAUACAAUUCAAUACUUGUAAAGUGUUGGAUGUUUACAAAAUUCUUGAAAGUUUCCUACCAUAAAUCAUCUGUUGUGAGGAUUUAAGUUCAUGUUUGAU
rnacentral:lncRNA from 1 species